AUCACUAAAACUCUUCUGAAAU
rnacentral:snRNA from 1 species